rnacentral:lncRNA from 1 species
UGCAUGCAACUUUCUUCAUGUCUUACAAACCAAGCACUCAAAUACCACAAAAUUUAUUAUUAUAGCUUUUGAACACUAUAAUCUACCUUCUCCUAAAGGUUUUAGCCAAAAAGUCGUCCAAAAAUUCAAGAUAUGGCUCAAAUCAUUACUGCAAAUAAAAUCAUUUAUUUACUGCCUUUGAUUUGAAUGUACUGACUUCAACCUUUUAUAACUUCUUCAUCCAAAUUCCAAUUUCAUCAAAUUGAUAUGAAAAGUAUAGUCUUAAAAGUGCUUUCUUUAAUCCUAAUCACCGAUCUUUUGUUGCUAUCUAUAAACAUAUGUUAUGCUCCAAAAAAUGAUAAUAGAUAUGAAAUUGACACCUUAACUUUGAGCAUCAAUAACUUUUUCAUUAAAACUCCAAAUCACACAAAAUUUGCAUCCAAUCCAUACCCAAAAACUUGAACUUGAUGAGUCUAGCCUCUUAAGCUCAAAUGACUUCAAAAAAAAAUCUUAACCCCUAAUAAGGCCUUAGGCAGCCUCCUUGAAGUCCAUUGGACAUGGCCUUCUACUAAUAAGAAUGAAGAUCUCCAUUCCUUGCCUUCAUCCAACCAUGCCUUGCUUUCAUCCCUCCUAAUAAGCCUCCUAUUAGUUAAGAUUUUGUUCUUUAGGCUGUAAUCUCCUCUCAUGGC